rnacentral:rRNA from 1 species
UACGAAGGGUGCAAGCGUUACUCGGAAUUACUGGGCGUAAAGCGUGCGUAGGCGGUUUGUUAAGUCCGUUGUGAAAGCCCUGGGCUCAACCUGGGAAUUGCAGUGGAUACUGGCGAGCUAGAGUGCGGUAGAGGAUGGUGGAAUUCCCGGUGUAGCGGUGAAAUGCGUAGAGAUCGGGAGGAACACCAGUGGCGAAGGCGACUACCUGGCCUGUUCUUGACGCUGAGGCGCGAAAGCUAGGGGAGCAAACGGG